GCCGCUGUAGCUCAAUUGGUAGAGCGUCAGACACAUUAUCUGAAGGUCGCAGGUUCAACCCCAGCCGGCGGCA